UGCAAGUCGAACGCGAAAGUUCCGCAAGGGAUGAGUAGAGUGGCAAACGGGUGAGUAACACGUGGGUGACCUGCCUUCGAGCGGGGGAUAACGUCCCGAAAGGGACGCUAAUACCGCAUGACAUCCUGCCUUUGGAGAGGUGGAGGUCAAAGCCGGGGACCGCAAGGCCUGGCACUUGAAGAGGGGCCCGCGCCUGAUUAGCUAGUUGGUGGGGUAAUGGCUCACCAAGGCAACGAUCAGUAUUCGGCCUGAGAGGGCGGACGGACACACUGGGACUGAGACACGGCCCAGACUCCUACGGGAGGCAGCAGUGGGGAAUUGUUCGCAAUGGGCGCAAGCCUGACGACGCAACGCCGCGUGGAGGAUGAAGACCUUCGGGUCGUAAACUCCUUUCGAUCGAGACGAAUGGUCUCUGGGUGAAUAAUCCGGAGAAGUGACAGUACCGAGAGAAGAAGCCCCGGCUAACUCCGUGCCAGCAGCCGCGGUAAUACGGGGGGGGCAAGCGUUGUUCGGAAUUACUGGGCGUAAAGGGCUCGUAGGCGGCCAACUAAGUCAGACGUGAAAUCCCUCGGCUUAACCGGGGAACUGCAUCUGAUACUGGAUGGCUUGAGUUCGGGAGAGGGAUGCGGAAUUCCAGGUGUAGCGGUGAAAUGCGUAGAUAUCUGGAGGAACACCGGUGGCGAAGGCGGCAUCCUGGACCGACACUGACGCUGAGAGCGAAAGCCAGGGGAGCAACGGGAUUAGAUACCCCGGUAGUCCUGGCCCUAAACGAUGAAUGCUUGGUGUGCGGGUAUCGAUCCCUGCCGUGCCGAAGCUAACGCAUUAAGCAUUCCGCCUGGGGAGUACGGUCGCAGGCUGAAACUCAAAGGAAUUGACGGGGGCCCGCACAAGCGG
rnacentral:rRNA from 1 species